CACGGGGGGAGCAAGCGUUGUUCGGAUUCAUUGGGCGUAAAGGGCUCGUAGGUGGCUUUGUAAGUCGGAGGUGAAAUCCCACGGCUCAACCGUGGACACGCCUUCGAAACUGUGAAGCUUGAGGCUGGGAGAGGAAAUCGGAAUUCCUGGUGUAGCGGUGAAAUGCGUAGAUAUCAGGAGGAACACCGGUGGCGAAGGCGGAUUUCUGGGCCGUAACUGACGCUGAGGAGCGAAAGCAUGGGGAGCGAACAGG
rnacentral:rRNA from 1 species